CUGCAGUAAGGUAUACUUAGUUGUCACGCAUGUCAUGGUAGAGCACAUGUCAUGAUAGAGCACAUGUCAUUUGCAGCCACUAGACAAAGAGAGAGCAAGACGAGGUUUACCCUGCCGGCUGUCUCCUUGUACGUCAGUCACCUUUUGAUAACUACUCAACGCUGCACAGCACAGGAUUCAGCAUUCAAUCACUCUCAUAAUUUUAUUGUCAUUUCAUCUUUUAUGGGGGACGCCCCACUCUUAAUUUUUAUCACUGAAUGGCUGCUGACGUACGUAUAUAUAAGAGCACUACAAGAUACGACAGGAAAGGGCCGCAACAUAGAAUGCUGGCUUUCUGAUCGAGGAGGAGAUGAUCUGUUAUUGGCCGGGGAUGGAGUCCUCUGAGAGACAAAGGGCCAGUUACUGUAUCAUGUAUGAAUAUUCUGUUGCUUGUACAUUUCGUAGCAAUUGACUCUAGAGUAGCAUCUUGAGCUCCCCUUUCUUCAUCACUCAAUCUGCAGGCAGUGUAUGUGAUUUUCUGACAGGAAAGGCUACUCUAAACAGAGGGAGUCGGCCACACAAGAGAGGACUCCCACGGUGGCAAUGAAUGUGAGGCAAUGAUCUGAUGAUGGCUCCACUGCUCUGAUGGACCAAUGCAGGAGAAGUUAUUCUGUAUAAUUAUUACACUAAAUUAAUGUAUGCCACUGUUUGGAUCGGUUUCUGUUCUGCUCAGCUUCUUCCUCCAACUUGCUUACGCAGGCUAAGCUUAUUCUUAGUUCAUUCUUAGUUCAUUCUAUAGUCUAGUAUUAUUGUCGGUUUGGUUGUUUGAUGUUUUUCACCUGGUCAUACGGAAUCACUUCAUUAUUAUCAGUGCAGACCACACCUCUAUCCACACAUUGUAUCUGCACAUCCUGUAUAUAAUUAUGGGGCCACACCCCCACUCACUGUACUGAUAUGUGGUCACACCCACAUACAUGGUAACCCUCUUGACCACACCCCCACCCAUGCAUUGCAUGUAUCGUACAUGCUGUGUUUUUGUGUACAGUACACAUCAUCCGUGUCUUUAUCCCCACACCUAGUCGGAGGGACAGCAAGUUCUACUAAGAGCCAGCAUCACCAACUAACCAACACACUACAAGACCUACCUACUACCAGCUAGGACAGCACACCACCCGGGACAGACUCUACUAUACCAUGUAAUACGCCUUUGUAUUACGAUCAUGAUACAAUUUGCUGCCCUCCCUCGCCAAUGGAUUGAAUAAUUAUGGACACUCGCAGGACAACUAAGAGACUGACACACAAUAAUAGACACCAAAGGGCCAGUUACUGUAUCAUGUACGAAUAUUCUGUUGCUUGUACAUUUCGUAAUGUAAUUGACUGUAGAGUAGCAUUUUGAGCUCCCCUUUCUUCAUCACUCAAUCUGCAGGCAGUGUAUGUGAUUUUCUGACAGGAAAGGCUACUCUAAACAGAGGGAGUCGGCCACACAAGGUAUAGUCUAAUAAUUAUUGUACAGUACUAGAUGAUCUUCUCUGUUUUGGGUCAGAUGCAAUUGCCUUGAAUCACUAGCCAGUUUAAAACAUUUCUUCUACUCUUGGCUUAAGAAAUUGUAUUUUAUUAUUGUACCAGCAUUAGGUAGUUAACUCCACUUAUGCAUUGACCUCUGCGUGUAGCGGGAAAGUUCGUUAUUUGAGCCCUCGAGAAAUGUUGUAUAGUUGUUCACAUUUCAAUGCCAGGAAACCAUAGCUUUGCAUGGUGCGUGGGAGUGUCUUCCAUUUAUAUUACAUGAAGUGUGAAGUGUGUUGUAAGUUUAUACAGAGAGGACUCCCAUGGUGGCAAUGAUCUGAUGAUGGCCCCACUGCUCUGAUGGACCAAUGCAGGAGAAGUUAUUCUGUAUAAUUAUUACACUAAAUUAAUGUAUGCCACUGUUUGGAUCGGUUUCUGUUCUGCUCAGCUUCUUCCUCCAACUUGCUUACGCAGGCUAAGCUUAUUCUUAAUUAGUUCAUUCUUAGUUCAUUCUAUAGUCUAGUAUUAUUGUCGGUUUGGUUGUUUUAUGUUUUUCACCUGGUCAUACGGAAUCACUUCAUUAAUUUUUAUACAGUGCAGACCACACCUCUAUCCACACAUUGUACCUGCACAUCCUGUAUAUAUGGGGCCACACCCCCACUCACUGUACUGAUAUGUGGUCACACCCCCAUACAUGGUAACCCUCUUGACCACACCUCCACCCAUGCAUUGUGUCGUACAUGCUGUGUUUUUGUGUACAGUACACACAUCAUCCGUGUCUUUGUCCCCACACCUAGUCGGAGGGAGCAGCAAGUUCUACUAAGAGCCAGCAUCACCAACUAACCAACACUACAAGACCUACCUACUACCAGCUAGGACAGCACACCACCCGGGACAGACUCUACUAUACCAUGUAAUACGCCUUUGUAUUAACGAUCAUGAUACAAUUUGCUGCCCUCCCUCGCCCAUGGAUUGAAUAAUUAUGGACACUCGCAGGAGACUGACACACAAUAAUAGACACCAAAGGGCCAGUUACUGUAUCAUGUACGAAUAUUCUGUUGCUUGUACAUUUCGUAACAUUAUCAGUAAUUGACUGUAGAGUAGCUCCCCUUUCUUCAUCACUCAAUGCAGGCAGUGUAUGUGAUUUUCUGACAGGAAAGGCUACUCUAAACAGGGAGUCGGCCACACAAGGUAUAGUCUAAUAAUUAUUGUACGGUACUUAGAUGAUCUUCUCUGUUUUGGGUCAGAUGCAAUUGCCUUCAAUCACUAGCCAGUUUAAAACAUUUCUUCUACUCUUGGCUUAAGAAAUUGUAUUUUAUUAUUGUACCAGCAUUAGGUAGUUAACUCCACUUAUGCAUUGACCUCUACUACUGUGUAGCGGGAAAGUUCAUUAUUUGAGCCCUCGAGAAAUGUUGUAUAGUUGUUCUCAUUUCAAUGCCAGGAAACCAUAGCUUUGCAUGGUGCGUGGGAGUGUCUUCCAUUUAUAUUACAUGAAGUGUGAAGUGUGUUGUAAGUUUAUACAGAGAGGACUCCCAUGGUGGCAAUGAUCUGAUGAUGGCUCCACUGCUCUGAUGGACCAAUGCAGGAGAAGUUAUUCUGUAUAAUUAUUACACUAAAUUAAUGUAUGCCACUGUUUGGAUCGGUUUCUGUUCUGCUCAGCUUCUUCCUCCAACUUGCUUACGCAGGCUAAGCUUAUUCUUAAUUAGUUCAUUCUUAGUUCAUUCUAUAGUCUAGUAUUAUUGUCGGUUUGGUUGUUUUAUGUUUUUCACCUGGUCAUACGGAAUCACUUCAUUAAUUUUUAUACAGUGCAGACCACACCUCUAUCCACACAUUGUACCUGCACAUUCUGUAUAUAUGGGGCCACACCCCCACUCACUGUACUGAUAUGUGGUCACACCCCCAUACAUGGUAACCCUCUUGACCACACCCCAAUCCUAUGCUGUGUUUUUGUGUACAGUACACACAUCAUCCGUGUCUUUAUCCCCACACCUAGUCGGAGGGAGCAGCAAGUUCUACUAAGAGCCAGCAUCACCCACUAACCAACACUCUACAAGACCUACCUACUACCAGCUAGGACAGCACACCACCCGGGACAGACUCUACUAUACCCAUGUAAUACGCCUUUGUAUUACGAUCAUGAUACAAUUUGCUGCCCUCCCUCGCCAAUGGAUUGAAUAAUUAUGGACACUCGCAGGACAACUAAGAGACUGACACACAAUAAUAGACACCAAAGGCAGUGUAUGUGAUUUUCUGACAGGAAAGGCUACUCUAAACAAAGGGAGUCGGCCACACAAGUCGGAGGGAGCAGCAAGUUCUACUAAGAGCCAGCAUCACCAACUAACCAACACUACAAGACCUACCUACUACCAGCUAGGACAGCACACCACCCGGGACAGACUCUACUAUACCAUGUAAUACGCCUUUUUAUUACGAUCAUGAUACAAUUUGCUGCCCUCCCUUGCCCAUGGAUUGAAUAAUUAUGGACACUCGCAGGACAACUAAGAGACUGACACACAAUAAUAGACACCUAACUGCAUUUUUGCCAUUAAUAUAAUAAAAAUAAUUAAUUUUUGCCAUUAA